rnacentral:rRNA from 1 species
AAAUGAAUAGACGGGGACCCGCACAAGCAGCGGAGCAUGUGGUUUAAUUCGAAGCAACGCGAAGAACCUUACCAGGCCUUGACAUCCUCUGACAAUCCUAGAGAUAGGACGUUUCCUUCGGGAACAGAGAGACAGGUGGUGCAUGGUUGUCGUCAGCUCGUGUCGUGAGAUGUUGGGUUAAGUCCCGCAACGAGCGCAACCCUUGCCUUUAGUUGCCAGCAUUGAGUUGGGCACUCUAAAGGGACUGCCGUAGACAAUACGGAGGAAGGUGGGGACGACGUCAAAUCAUCAUGCCCCUUAUGGCCUGGGCUACACACGUGCUACAAUGGGUUGGGACAAAGGGAAGCGAAGCCGCGAGGUGAAGCCAAUCCCAUAAAACAACCCCCAGUUCGGAUUGCAGGCUGAAACCCGCCUGCAUGAAGUUGGAGUUGCUAGUAAUCGCAGAUCAGAAUGCUGCGGUGAAUGCGUUCCCGGGUCUUGUACACACCGCCCGU